UACGUAGGUGGCAAGCGUUGUCCGGAAUUAUUGGGUGUAAAGCGCGCGCAGGCGGUCCUUUAAGUCUGAUGUGAAAGCCCACGGCUCAACCGUGGAGGGUCAUUGGAAACUGGGGGACUUGAGUGCAGAAGAGGAAAGCGGAAUUCCACGUGUAGCGGUGAAAUGCGUAGAGAUGUGGAGGAACACCAGUGGCGAAGGCGGCUUUCUGGUCUGUAACUGACGCUGAGGCGCGAAAGCGUGGGGAGCAAACAGG
rnacentral:rRNA from 1 species